rnacentral:rRNA from 1 species
GAUGAAGAAAGCAGCGAAAUGCGAUAAGUAAUGCGAAUUGCAGAAUUCCGUGAGUCAUCGAAUCUUUGAACGCACAUUGCGCCCCUUGGUACUCCGAGGGGCAUGCCUGUCCGAGCGUCAUUG